UACGGAGGGUGCGAGCGUUGUCCGGAAUCACUGGGCGUAAAGGGCGCGUAGGCGGCGCGACAAGUCAACGGUGAAAGCCCGGGGCUCAACCCCGGGUCGGCCGUCGAUACUGUUGGGCUGGAGCACUGUAGAGGCAGGUGGAAUUCCGGGUGUAGCGGUGGAAUGCGUAGAGAUCCGGAAGAACACCGGUGGCGAAGGCGGCCUGCUGGGCAGUAGCUGACGCUGAUGCGCGACAGCGUGGGGAGCAAACAGG
rnacentral:rRNA from 1 species